rnacentral:rRNA from 1 species
CCUACGGGAGGCAGCAGUGAGGAAUAUUGGUCAAUGGACGAGAGUCUGAACCAGCCAAGUAGCGUGAAGGAUGACUGCCCUAUGGGUUGUAAACUUCUUUUAUAUGGGAAUAAAAUGUUCCACGUGUGGGAUUUUGUAUGUACCAUAUGAAUAAGGAUCGGCUAACUCCGUGCCAGCAGCCGCGGUAAUACGGAGGAUCCGAGCGUUAUCCGGAUUUAUUGGGUUUAAAGGGAGCGUAGAUGGGUUGUUAAGUCAGUUGUGAAAGUUUGCGGCUCAACCGUAAAAUUGCAAUUGAAACUGGCAGUCUUGAGUACAGUAGAGGUAGGCGGAAUUCGUGGUGUAGCGGUGAAAUGCUUAGAUAUCACGAAGAACCCCGAUUGCGAAGGCAGUUCACUAAACUGCGACUGACACUGAGGCUCGAAAGUGUGGGUAUCAAACAGGAUUAGAUACCCCAGUAGUC